rnacentral:rRNA from 1 species
AUUGAACGCUGGCGGCAGGCCUAACACAUGCAAGUCGAGCGAGCGGCGGACGGGUGAGCAAUGUAUGGGGAUCUGCCCGAUAGAGGGGGAUAACUACUGGAAACUGUAGCUAAUACCGCAUAACAUCAGAUGUGCCCAGAUGGGUUUAGCUAGUGGGGGGGGUAAUGGCGCACCUAGGCGACGAUCCCUAGCUGGGCUGAGAGGAUGACCAGUCACACGGGAACUGAGACACGGUCCAGACUCCUACGGGAGGCAGCAGUGGGGAAUAUUGCACAAUGGGCGCAAGCCUGAUGCAGCCAUGCCGCGUGUGUGAAGAAGGCCUUCGGGUUGUAAAGCACUUUCAGCGAGGAGGCGUUACUAGCAGAAGAAGCACCGGCUAACUCCGUGCCAGCAGCCGCGGUAAUAC